GGAACGGGCUGGACAGUUGAUCCUUCCUUAGCAGGAAACUACUCCCACCCAGGAGCCUCUGUAGACCUGACCAUUUUCUCCCUGCAUCUAGCAGGUAUCUCCUCCAUUCUAGGGGCUAUUAACUUCAUUGUGACAAUUAUUAACAUAAACCCCCUGCCAUAUCUCAAUACCAAACACCCCUCUUUGUCUGAUCCGUCCUAAUCACAGCAGUCCUACUCCUCCUCUCCCUUCCAGUCCUGGCCGCUGGCAUUACUAUAUUAUUAACAGACCACAACCUUGAUACCACCUUCUUUGAUCCAGUCGGAGGGGGAGACCCUAUCCUGUACCAACACCUAUUUUGAUUCUUCGGUCACCCCAAAGUCUAUAUUCUCAUCCUACCGGGCUUCGGGAUAAUUUCCCAUAUCGUAACAUACUAUUCUGGAAAAAAAGAACCAUUCGGGUAUAUGGGCAUAGUCUGAGCUAUGAAAUCAAUUGGUUUCCUAGGAUUUAUUGUAUGAGCUCAUCAUAUAUUCACAGUAGGGAUAGACGUGGAUACACGAGCCUACUUCACCUCCGCUACUAUAAUUAUCGCCAUUUCCACUGGCGUCAAAGUAUUUAGUUGACUUGCUACGCUUCACAGAAGUAACAUCAAAUGAUCUGCCGCGGUACUCUGAGCCGUAGGGUUCAUCUUCCUCUUCACUGUGGGUAGUCUAACCGGCAUUGUACUAGCAAACUCAUCAUUAGAUA
rnacentral:lncRNA from 1 species